rnacentral:siRNA from 1 species
CUUUAAUUUAAUUAGUUAUGCC